CUCUGGCCGAUGGAGUAUCCCAUUAGGCUUUUAAUAAAACAAAGUUAUCAUUUUGUUUUAAGGAAAAUAACUGGGAAUUUGUGGAUAAGAGAGUAAAGAAGCUGCAGUUCAGAGGCAAGAGUAGCAGUUCAGUAGUUACUGUAAAAGUUCUUGUAAGAAAUGGAAAGGGUGAAAGAGGAGGACUGGAUCCCAGAUACAUUUCAUAUGUUAAGUAGGGCCUGCCCUCUUGUUGGCUGGUGGGGAGGGGAGGGAUGAACCACCAUGGAUGCCCCUAGUUCCCAGCCUCCAUGUGGGGAAGGGUUAGCAAGACAGGGAAUGAAGGUGGGUGAGCAGACUGGAGCCACACUUAAAUGUCAAGAGGCAAUUCCAGCAAAGAUACCUGGCAGGUAGUUGAAAAUUUGGUUACAAGUUAGAUUUGGGAAUCAUUUAAGAUUUAUAAAUAGUAGUUGAUGCCAAAUGGAUAAGAUCAUCUAUGAAAAAGUAGGUUGGUUUGUUUUUUAAUUACAGUAAAUGGGCCCAUCUCAAAUUUUCAACUAUCUUCCAGUUCUUAGAGGAACUGGUUAAAUACAUCUUUUCUUAAACAUUUGUUUAAACAAUGUAAAUCUUAUCUUUUGGUAAUCUUCAGCUUUUUGAAUUUCCACCUUACAGAGAGAAUAGACAAGUAACUAUGAAACUCCACCCAAGAACUGGCCAAACACCUCCAGCACUUUCAUUCCACUGGGGACACUGUUGGGAGAGAGGGGGAAACAGGUAGAAAUAACUGGAAGGAAAGAGAUGGGGAAAGGUCAUUUUAAGAAAAUAAGAUGAAGAAACACCAUGCACUACUGUAAAACUUGGCAUUGAGCAGAGUAGGGUGAGCAUUUCUUUUUUUUUUUUAAGUUCCAAAAUAAGUGAGAUGGAAAGAAACAAUAACAACUGUCAGUGAACUCAGGAGCAACUCUCUCUCGGAGCUAUAAAAUAGUUUUACAGCCUGCACAAUCUUGUUAUGAGCUAGCUCAUUAUGACAUAAUUUCAUAUAUACAACACAUAAUAACCACAUGGUUGCUGUGAAAUUGUUAGCCUAUAACUGGGCUAUUCAUCCUGUGCGCAUGACACCGGUGUUAAUGAAGAGAGUUUUACUGUGCUUCUCUUUCUCCUUUCCAUGCAGACGCAGAGUUUUUGCAAGUAGUAGGAGACCUGGUCAUUGGAGCACAAGAUGGAUGAUCUGUCGUGAAUAUCCAGGAGAAUAUUCCUGUCUUGGAUGGGAAAUGUGACUAAGAUGAUCUUUAUGGCAAGCCGUCUGACAACUAUGACCUGAAUGUUUGAAGAUGAUGUUGCACAUAAAACCCCUGAUCAUGUCUCUGCCACCCCAACUAAAUUUCUCUCCUAAAUCUUCUGCACUAAUAAUGCUAUACUACAAAGGAGAUGGGACAAUCUUUUGAUCUAAUCUAAGUGGUAAUUUAAUUUUAAUGCAAGUGGAAGUGGAAGAACUAGAAGACUGCACAGAGUGUAGAAAGAGGGACCCGAGUAGAAGAGAGCCAGGUUGGGGAUCCGUGUGGUAAGCGGGUAUGUGUGCCAGACCUACUGCUAUGUGUACUCCUGACAGUCAUGACUCCAUAUGGUCACUAAGUAAAGACACACAUUCAAAUCUUAGCGAUGUCUUCAUUCAGAACCCAUUCGAGGACCUGCCAUGUACUUGGUAUUUUCAAACUUCUUAUAUCUUUUAAGUCUUAUUGAUUUUGAAAUUUAAAACUUCCCUAUUAGGUAUUUUUUUUUU